CCGGCGGUGGCAGGGGCGACGGCGGCGCGCUCCCGUCCCGUCGCGGACGCCUGCCGCUGCGGCUGCGGCGCAGUCCCGUGCCGUGGGA
rnacentral:tRNA from 1 species